UUAAAAUCUGUUGAAGAUAGUUUGAGAUUCAUCCUCUCACCUCCCAUUCCCAAUGCUGCUCUCACCUCGGUACUAAUCAACCUCCCACCUCUCCCACUCAUCCUUUCAAAUUUCUACAGCUUGCUUUUCAAAAUUUGAUUUUGAAGGAACUCAAAUACCCAAUUCGUCUCCUUAUCUAUUCAGAUUCAGAUUCAAAUUCUCUCUCUCUCUCUCUCCCUCUCGCCUUAACUCUCUCCAACACCGCAGGUGCCUUGGCAAGAUCCUUCAUUCUACAUGGAACUCUUUCUGGAAAACUUCUCCCAAAUUUCCCCAGACCCUCUUCUCCCCUCUCGCAAUUCCACAAAUUUCAAAUAGAUGCUUAACCAAGUAGCUUCUUCAUUGUCGUCACAUUCGCCGAGUCGUUUUUUCUUUUAUUAUUUAUGUAUGUAAAAACAUGAUUACUUGCUAUUAUAAUCAUUGAUCCUUCCUUGCAAUUGGUACUCAAAUUAUUCAAAUUUGUUUCUCAAGUGCGUAGAUAUCUUCCUGCAUCUAUGCUCUCCAUUCUUAAAACUUGGAGGCCUUUCUUUUGAAUCCCCUCAGAUAUGUUUUCUUUUUAGGCGGUGCUAUAUAUUUGGCAUGCGCCUUGAGCCCAACUAGCUGACAAUGAAGCAUGGUCGAUGUCUCACUUGGAGAUAAGAUUUUCUAUUGUACUCAGAAUCAAGCAUCAAGUUUUAGUGAAAACUCUAAGUUCAUCAAGGGCUGCUAGAUAGGAAGCAGAGUCACCGGGCAACAAGGUGGUGAUUUCACUAAGUUGGAGGCUUUAUGAUUUGGUGCAAGAAUUCCUUGGUAGAGGAGGCUGUAAUAUAGAGUUUAGAGAUAAUCCACGAUUUGAAGUAUUUUUACUGGAUAUGUAUAUGGGUGCAUAUAUGAAAGCGUGUAUUUUUUGUUUUAUGUGGGUGAUGUUGAGUUGAUCCUAGAUUUAUUCAAAGGAUAUUUGUCCUAACUGUAUACAGUUCUAUUACAUUACCUAUCCAAUAAGAAGUGUGCUCUCAUGGAUAUUCAAUAUUGGUUUAACUAAAAUGUUUAGAUGCCCAUGGAGGGUUUGUUACCUAUCUCUAAGGUUGUUUCUAUUUGAUAAGCAAGCCAAUCAAGUGUUCUGUUUUUACAGGUAGAGGAUGUUAUAUUUUUGUUGAAUAGAGGUUGAGAAUUGUUAAUUUUGAUAUAAAAAUAAUG